UACGAAGGGGACUAGCGUUGUUCGGAAUCACUGGGCGUAAAGCGCACGUAGGCGGAUAUGUCAGUCAGGGGUGAAAUCCCGGGGCUCAACCUCGGAACUGCCCUUGAUACAGCAUAUCUUGAGUCCGAUAGAGGUGGGUGGAAUUCCUAGUGUAGAGGUGAAAUUCGUAGAUAUUAGGAAGAACACCGGUGGCGAAGGCGGCCCACUGGAUCGGUACUGACGCUGAAGUGCGAAAGCGUGGGGAGCAAACAGG
rnacentral:rRNA from 1 species